rnacentral:rRNA from 1 species
GAUGAACGCUGGCGGCGUGCCUAAUACAUGCAAGUCGAGCGAACAGACGAGGAGCUUGCUCCUCUGACGUUAGCGGCGGACGGGUGAGUAACACGUGGAUAACCUACCUAUAAGACUGGGAUAACUUCGGGAAACCGGAGCUAAUACCGGAUAAUAUAUUGAACCGCAUGGUUCAAUAGUGAAAGACGGUUUUGCUGUCACUUAUAGAUGGAUCCGCGCCGCAUUAGCUAGUUGGUAAGGUAACGGCUUACCAAGGCAACGAUGGGUAGCCGACCUGAGAGGGUGAUCGGCCACACUGGAACUGAGACACGGUCCAGACUCCUACGGGAGGCAGCAGUGGGGAAUCUUCCGCAAUGGGCGAAAGCCUGACGGAGCAACGCCGCGUGAGUGAUGAAGGUCUUCGGAUCGUAAAACUCUGUUAGUAGGGAAGAACAAAUGUGUAAGUAACUAUGCACGUCUUGACGGUACCUAAUCAGAAAGCCACGGCUAACUACGUG